UCUCAUAUUCCUAAACACCCAAAAGGUACCAGAUCCCAUCUGGUCUUAGAAGCUGAGCAGGGUUAUUCCUAGUUAGUAUUUGGAUGGGAGAUCACUAAAGAAUGCCAGGUGGUGCAGGCU
rnacentral:rRNA from 1 species